AUGUGGGCCGCGUCGUGCCUGGCGUCCUGCUGCGCCGCCUGCGCGUGCGAGGCGUGCCGCACCGCCGUCGGCAGCAUCGGCCGCCGCUCCGCGCGGAUCGCCUACUGCGGCCUCUUCGCGCUCUCCCUCCUCGCCUCCUGGGUGCUCCGCGAGGUCGCCGCGCCGCUCCUCCAGUCCAUCCCAUGGAUCAACCACUUCCACAAGACGCCGGACCGCGAGUGGUUCGAGACGGACGCCGUGCUCAGGGUCAGCCUCGGCAACUUCCUCUUCUUCACCAUCCUCGCCGCCAUCAUGGCCGGCAUCAAGGACCAGAAGGACCCGCGCGACAAGGUCCACCACGGCGGCUGGAUGGCCAAGAUCUUCUGCUGGGUCGUCAUCGUCUUCCUCAUGUUCUUCGUCCCCAACGGCGUCGUCAGCUUCUACGAAUCGAUUUCCAAGUUUGGAUCUGGACUGUUCCUUCUCGUUCAGGUUGUUCUUCUGUUGGACUUCGUGCACGGAUGGAAUGAGAACUGGGUUGCUAAAGAUGAACAGUUCUGGUACAUGGCUCUGUUGGUUGUAUCGGUUGUUUGUUAUAUUGGCUCAUUCGCUUUCUCGGGUCUACUCUUUCACUGGUUCACUCCAUCGGGGCAGGACUGCGGACUCAAUAUGUUCUUCAUUGUCUCCACACUGAUUCUUGUUUUUGUGUUCGCUAUUGUUGCGCUGCACCCAAAGGUCAAUGGAAGCUUGCUGCCUGCAUCAGUUAUAGGCCUUUACUGCACAUACUUGUGCUACAGCGGACUCUCCAGUGAGCCAAGGGAUUAUGAGUGCAACGGGCUUCACAAUCACUCCAAAGCUAUGUCAACUGGUAGCCUUACGUUGGGAUUAUGUACCACCAUCCUUUCUGUGGUCUACUCUGCUGUUCGUGCUGGCUCUUCUGCAACCGUGCUCUCAGCACCAGACUCACCACGCGCCGGUGCCGACAAGCCACUGCUCCCCUUCAGCAAAGCGGACGAGGAGGAGACUAAGGACGUGCCAAAGCCGGUGACAUACUCCUACUCGUUCUUCCACCUCAUCUUCUCCCUGGCAAGCAUGUACUCAGCGAUGCUCCUGACUGGCUGGUCGACCUCGGUUGGCGAGAGCGGAAAGCUUGUCGAUGUCGGGUGGCCGUCUGUCUGGGUCAGGAUCGCGACCCAGUGGGCAACAGCAGGUCUGUUCAUCUGGUCCCUUGUUGCUCCCCUCCUGUUCCCAGACAGGGAGUUCUAG
rnacentral:rRNA from 1 species